UACCUCUGCCACCCUUGAGGUGGUCACAAGCACCUGGAAUUCCUCUUUAUGCAAACAAAGUAGGAUCUCAGCCCCAGCCAAUGACAUACACUUACCCUGAAAGCCUCUACCUAGUUCCCAAAGGUUUAAAUGGUUCUUGUUCCACACCCCCUCCCCCAGUUAAAUGAUGUGCUCAGUGAAGCCUGCUUCCUGAGAAGUCUGUUUCUCACAGCGCUCACCCAUUGCCUAAGGUCUCCAUCACCUCUUCUUCCUCCCCCAAGCCUGGCCACCCUUGCCCAGCUUCCCCUCUCUGGCCACUGGUCUGAUCCCCUUUGAUCAAGGUGUUAAGGGAGGGGGAGUGGGGCGGGAAUUACCAUCAAAUCUGGGCCCCAGGAGUAACUUUUAAAGGCAUCAGUUAUACACGUACCUGUCUGCUUUAUUACAUGACCUAGAAGGUGUUUAAGAUAUACUGGUCAAAAGAUAAGCUCCAAGAGUGACAGCACCCUACUUUAACCCCUUUAAUCUCUUUUCCUUUUAACACAGAGAGAAACCCCAUUUCAACAAACAAACAAACAUAACAACACUCAAACAAGCCAACAGAAAGGGGCUGGAGAGAUGGCUCAGAGGUUGGCUUCACUGGCUGCUCUUCCAGAGGACCCAGGUUCAAUGCCACAGCACCCACAUGGCAGCUCACAACUAUCUGUGACUCCAGUUCCAAGGAAUCUGGAACCCUCACAUAGACAUACAUGCAGGCCAAACUACUAACACACAUUGAAAAAUCUUGAAAAAAUUAAAAAACAAAAUAAAAAUAAAAAUGGAAGUGAAGUGAAAA
ensembl:lncRNA